rnacentral:rRNA from 1 species
UACGUAGGGGGCAAGCGUUGUCCGGAUUCAUUGGGCGUAAAGAGCGUGUAGGCGGCCAGGUAGGUCGGUUGUGAGAACUGGAGGCUCAACCUUCAGAGGUCGACCGAAACCAUCUGGCUAGAGUCCGGGAGAGGAGAGUGGAAUUCCUGGUGUAGCGGUGAAAUGCGCAGAUAUCAGGAGGAACACCGAUGGCGAAGGCAGGUCUCUGGGCAUUAACUGACGCUGAGGAGCGAAAGCAUGGGGAGCGAACAGG